rnacentral:rRNA from 1 species
GGCGGACGGGUGAGUAACACGUGGGUAACCUACCUAUAAGACUGGAAUAACUCCGGGAAACCGGGGCUAAUGCCGGAUAACAUUUAGAACCGCAUGGUUCUAAAGUGAAAGAUGGUUUUGCUAUCACUUAUAGAUGGACCCGCGCCGUAUUAGCUAGUUGGUAAGGUAACGGCUUACCAAGGCAACGAUACGUAGCCGACCUGAGAGGGUGAUCGGCCACACUGGAACUGAGACACGGUCCAGACUCCUACGGGAGGCAGCAGUAGGGAAUCUUCCGCAAUGGGCGAAAGCCUGACGGAGCAACGCCGCGUGAGUGAUGAAGGUCUUCGGAUCGUAAAACUCUGUUAUUAGGGAAGAACAAAUGUGUAAGUAACUAUGCACGUCUUGACGGUACCUAAUCAGAAAGCCACGGCUAACUACGUGCCAGCAGCCGCGGUAAUACGUAGGUGGCAAGCGUUAUCCGGAAUUAUUGGGCGUAAAGCGCGCGUAGGCGGUUUCUUAAGUCUGAUGUGAAAGCCCACGGCUCAACCGUGGAGGGUCAUUGGAAACUGGGAAACUUGAGUGCAGAAGAGGAAAGUGGAAUUCCAUGUGUAGCGGUGAAAUGCGCAGAGAUAUGGAGGAACACCAGUGGCGAAGGCGACUUUCUGGUCUGUAACUGACGCUGAUGUGCGAAAGCGUGGGGAUCAAACAGGAUUAGAUACCCUGGUAGUCCACGCCGUAAACGAUGAGUGCUAAGUGUU